UCCCUGAGUAACGGCGAGCGAAAAGGGAACAGUCCAGCGCCGAAUCCCGCGCUCUUUGGGCGCCGGGAAAUGUGGCGUUUGGGAGUGAGCGUGCCGGAGGUCGACCCAGCAGCAAGUCCCCCUGACCGGGGCUCUUUCCCAGAGUGGGUGCGAGGCCCAUAGCUGCCAGGUCUCUUCCGGAUGCGAUCUCCUCGGAGUCGGGUUGCUUGGGAAUGCAGCCCUAAGUGGGUGGUAAACUCCACCUAAGACUAAAUACUGCCGUGAGACCGAUAGCAAACAAGUACCGUGAGGGAAAGUUGCAAAGAACUUUGAAGAGAGAGUUCAAGAGUACGUGAAACUGCUCAGAGGAAAACGGGUGGGCCCUCGAAAUCCUGUGGCGGGAGGAUUCAGUCGAGAGGUUCGGAGGCUUGUCCGAGGCUGUUAUGAGAAUGGAUCCCGCGACCGGGCCUCCUUGGACGAGCUCUUUCGGAUCGACCGACGCAUUUCUUUCCCGCCCGAAGGACGCCGCAACGGGUUGGCGGGACGGCCUGAAGGACGGGAGCCGGCAGGUGGCCGGAGGUCCUUCCUCGUGGAGGUCUCUGGUUGUUAGCCUUUCCGUCGCACGGCCGUACCCCGACCCUGGUGACGCGAGGCCCGCAUGGGCUUCUCCGCCUCCUCCUUAAAUGGAUGCGAGCAGACGUGGCAGGUGAGGCCGCGCGUUCGCGGGCGCACGGACUGACGCGUGGCCCUGCGACGCGAGGUCCCCGUUGGCUGCGCGUGGCUCGUCGGAGUGCUGGUGGUAGCGGCGAGUAGAUCGGACCAAGGAGUGUAACAUGUAUGCGAGUCAAUGGGUCUCGACAAAGCCCAAAGGCGCAAUGAAAGCAAAGGCCGUUCACGGCUGAGUUGGGAUCCUCCCUCCUCCGCGGGGGAGGCGCACCAACGACCCGUCCCGUCCGAUUUAUCGGUGUGGCGGAGUCAGAGCAUACACGUUGCGACCCGAAAGGUGGUGAACUAUGCCCGGGCAGGACGAAGUCAGAGGAAACUCUGAUGGAGGUCCGCAGCGGUUCUGACGUGCAAAUCGAUCGUCAGACCCGUGUAUAGCGGCGAAAGACCAAUCGAACCAUCUAGUAGCUGGUUCCCUCCGAAGUUUCCCUCAGGAUAGCUGGCGCUCGAACAUCAGUCUCAUCCGGUAAAGCGAAUGAUUAGAGGCCUUGGGGCCGAAACGACCUCAACCUAUUCUCAAACUUUAAAUGGGUGAGAAGUCCGCCUUGCAUGACUGAAGGCCGGACGUAACGGAUGAGAGUGCCUAGUGGGCCACUUUUGGUAAGCAGAA
rnacentral:rRNA from 1 species